rnacentral:rRNA from 1 species
UUUUAUAGACUUGAAAGAGGGAGUAGGGUGGAGGGAGAGCCGGCGGAGCAGAAGAGGCGGAGGCGGAGGUGGUGUUGGCUACCGAGGUGCGGCCGACACUUAUCACGCUCGCUCGCCCCGCUAUCCUUUUCUUCUCGCUCGGGAAGGGGGAGGGGGGAGGGAGUUCUUGGGAUCGGCGACGGAGGAGGAGGGCGGAGUCGGCGGAGGGGGGAGGGGAGGUGGGGAGGGCGUAGAGCAGGCGGGUCUCACGCCCCCGCUCGAAGAGCUGCUGCCACCGCGACCGAGCUCCGGCCCCUCGCCGGCUACGCCGGGAGGAAGAGCUGCUGCCACCGCGACCGAGCUCCGGCCCCUCGCCGGCUACGCCGGGAGGAAGAGGCGGUAGAGGCUAAGAGAACCGACAACACUACCGUCGCGCCGCCUCGAGCAGCAGCUGGCCGCCCGCCGUGGUCCGCCGCCGCGCUGGUAAUCGUAGCCGUGGUCGCGUGCUCCAGUACCCCGCACUCCUCUCCCUCCCCUAUCUACGUACCCCUCAUCCUCGGGCACCAGUACCGCCGCGUUGCCUCCAGCACCGGCCCGGGAACAGGGUUGGAGUUCGGUAACCCCUCCACUUCUACCACUACCGCCGUCCUCUUCGCGCGCCUCGUCGUCUUUGUAGUAGGGAGGAACGGAACAAGAAAAUAGAGAAGGAUUAUCAAACAACCAGCUUAAAUAUCCUAAGAAUUAGCUGUCUAGUCCUUAGUGGAGGGGUAAGUCGAUUCGACGUACAGAAAACGAAUAUAAAACAGGAAAGAACAUGAAUGUAGAGUACGACACACCUAAAGGAUACCGAGUUCAAACAACGACGCGAGUCCAAAGUCGUUAACGACGUGGACGUUUAAACCCCAACUCACAUGUCAAAUGAAAGUCAGUUUUCGAUACGAUAAAAGUCGUGUGCUAUAAUAUACACCAGAAACUGUCUAAACUAACUAAAACCUACUACAUGUACUUACUGUCACCUGCCUGUUCCUAGCUCCCUUACAUCUUCGCCGAAGCAGUCGCACACAGCUCUAAGAAUCGCUCGUCAAAGAACCUGUUCCUAACUUUUUAAAUUCAUACAUGAAUAAGGACACACGUCUAAUGGUACUUAUUCUGUUGACUUCUAAACUGGACGAGCUGUUUCAGGUUACUUUCUUCAUAUUACAUAGUAACUAAUAUCGAUUUCUACCUGUUCCUAACUCCCUUACAUCUUCGCUGAAACAGUAGCACACAGCUCCAAGAAUCGUUCGUCAAGGAGACUCUACCAAAGUCCAGCGACUAACAAAAGAUGGGAUACGUGUGUUCUACAGAGAGGAAAAUAUCUCAUAAAUUGGUUUUUGAUGGUGUAAAGUGCCUUUGCACAGCUUUUUGAUGGUGAAAUGCUAAAACACGCUUUUUGAUGGUGAAAAAGGCAUUAGGCACCGUUUUUUGAUGGUUCAGCGCUUUAGCGAGCGAAGCGGGCGCGAUUCGUGUUUUGACUGGCGAACCCGGGUGUUUGGUCCACGGUCGCACGGGGGAGCCGGGCAGGCCCAGCCGGCGGGGCCACAGCUUGUCCCGCGGCGGCGGCGCCCCCCGAGACAACGACGGCGACGGCGACGGCCACGAGACCGCGGCCAGCCGGAAGGAGCCCUACGCCGACGGCAUCCUCCACGGCUCCUCCGGGGUCGGUAGGAGCAGCCUCUCUACGGUCGGCUUCGCGAGCCGGUAGAGGACCUCCUGCGCGGGCCGCACGGCCGCGGGCGCCGCCGGGGCUCGCCCGCCUCCUCCCCCUAGGACCGCUCUAGGACUGGGGCCGGCUGGAGCCGGCGAGCGCGGGGCGGCACAAGCCGGCGCGGGCCGGAGGAGAAGGUGCGGGACGCCGAACGAGAUGCGCGCGUGCGUUAUGCGGGCGACGGCGUGCGAGGGCGGUCGCACGGCUGCACCUGAGCGGCGUCGUCGUCGGCAAGGGCAGGCGGCCGCCGUUCGCCGACCCCUUCCUCCUCCGGCCGCUGCUCCUCCUCUUCCUCCGCCUCCUGGGCUAACGAAAAAACUUCUUUUUGAUCCCUAGGCUAACGUAAAAAUCGGGCAAAUACACACCCCAGCCCGUCAGUCUAAGCGCAAAUUGGGUUCGUUUCGCUCAUCAAAAGCGUGAACCAUCAAAAAACAGUGCCUAAUUAUUUUUUCACCAUCAAAAGCCCUGUUUUAGCAUUUCACCAUCAAAAGACAGUGCAAAGGCGCUUAACACCAUCAAAAACCAAUUUAUGAGGGAAGAUAUCAAUGGCGAACCUAUCCUAUGUACCUCAAGUAUAAGAUAGUCUAAAAUAGGGACUCAUUAAACCAGGAUUUCUACAGUCCAAAUUCUUACACG